rnacentral:rRNA from 1 species
AUUGAACGCUGGCGGCAGGCCUAACACAUGCAAGUCGAACGAGUGGCGGACGGGUGAGUAAUGCUUGGGAAUCUAGCUUAUGGAGGGGGAUAACUACGGGAAACUGUAGCUAAUACCGCGUAACAUAGGAUGAGCCCAAGUGGGAUUAGGGAGUUGGUGGGGUAAAGGCUCACCAAGCCGACGAUCUCUAGCUGGUCUGAGAGGAGGACCAGCCACACUGGGACUGAGACACGGCCCAGACUCCUACGGGAGGCAGCAGUGGGGAAUAUUGCGCAAUGGGGGCAACCUGACGCAGCCAUGCCGCGUGAAUGAAGAAGGCCUUAGGGUUGUAAAGUUCUUUCGGUAGGGAGGCGUUAACUACAGAAGAAGCACCGGCUAACUCCGUGCCAGCAGCCGCGGUAAUUC